GGUUAAGCGACUAAGCGUACACGGUGGAUGCCCCGGCAGUCAGAGGCGAUGAAGGACGUGCUAAUCUGCGAUAAGCGUCGGUAAGGUGAUAUGAACCGUUAUAACCGGCGAUUUCCGAAUGGGGAAACCCAGUGUGAUUCGUCACACUAUCAUUAACUGAAUCCAUAGGUUAAUGAGGCGAACCGGGGAACUGAAACAUCUAAGUACCCCGAGGAAAAGAAAUCAACCGAGAUUCCCCAGUAGCGGCGAGCGAACGGGGAGGAGCCCAGAGCCUGAAUCAGUGUGUGUGUGUUAGUGGAAGCGUCUGGAAAGGCGCGCGAUACAGGGUGACAGCCCCGUACACAAAAAUGCACAUACUGUGAGCUCGAUGAGUAGGGCGGGACACGUGGUAUCCUGUCUGAAUAUGGGGGACCAUCCUCCAAGGCUAAAUACUCCUGACUGACCGAUAGUGAACCAGUACCGUGAGGGAAAGGCGAAAAGAACCCCGGCGAGGGAGUGAAAAAGAACCUGAAACCGUGUACGUACAAGCAGUGGGAGCCUCUUUAUGGGGUGACUGCGUACCUUUUUGUAUAAUGGGUCAGCGACUUAUAUUCUGUAGCAAGGUUAACCGAAUAGGGGAGCCGAAGGGAAACCGAGUCUUAACUGGGCGUUAAGUUGCAGGGUAUAGACCCGAAACCCGGUGAUCUAGCCAUGGGCAGGUUGAAGGUUGGGUAACACUAACUGGAGGACCGAACCGACUAAUGUUGAAAAAUUAGCGGAUGACUUGUGGCUGGGGGUGAAAGGCCAAUCAAACCGGGAGAUAGCUGGUUCUCCCCGAAAGCUAUUUAGGUAGCGCCUCGUGAAUUCAUCUCCGGGGGUAGAGCACUGUUUCGGCAAGGGGGUCAUCCCGACUUACCAACCCGAUGCAAACUGCGAAUACCGGAGAAUGUUAUCACGGGAGACACACGGCGGGUGCUAACGUCCGUCGUGAAGAGGGAAACAACCCAGACCGCCAGCUAAGGUCCCAAAGUCAUGGUUAAGUGGGAAACGAUGUGGGAAGGCCCAGACAGCCGGAUGUUGGCUUAGAAGCAGCCAUCAUUUAAAGAAAGCGUAAUAGCUCACUGGUCGAGUCGGCCUGCGCGGAAGAUGUAACGGGGCUAAACCAUGCACCGAAGCUGCGGCAGCGACACUAUGUGUUGUUGGGUAGGGGAGCGUUCUGUAAGCCUGUGAAGGUGUGCUGUGAGGCAUGCUGGAGGUAUCAGAAGUGCGAAUGCUGACAUAAGUAACGAUAAAGCGGGUGAAAAGCCCGCUCGCCGGAAGACCAAGGGUUCCUGUCCAACGUUAAUCGGGGCAGGGUGAGUCGACCCUAAGGCGAGGCCGAAAGGCGUAGUCGAUGGGAAACAGGUUAAUAUUCCUGUACUUGGUGUUACUGCGCUGCGAGGGGGACGGAGAAGGCUAUGUUGGCCGGGCGACGGUUGUCCCGGUUUAAGCGUGUAGGCUGGUUUUCCGGCAAAAUCCGGAAAACUAAGGCUGAGGCGUGAUGACGAGGCACUACGGUGCUGAAGCAACAAAUGCCCUGCUUCCGGAAAAGCCUCUAAGCAUCAGGUAACAUCAAAUCGUACCCCAAACCGACACAGGUGGUCAGGUAGAGAAUACCAAGGCGCUUGAGAGAACUCGGGUGAAGGAACUAGGCAAAAUGGUGCCGUAACUUCGGGAGAAGGCACGCUGAUAUGUAGGUGAAGCGACUUGCUCGUGGAGCUGAAAUCAGUCGAAGAUACCAGCUGGCUGCAACUGUUUAUUAAAAACACAGCACUGUGCAAACACGAAAGUGGACGUAUACGGUGUGACGCCUGCCCGGUGCCGGAAGGUUAAUUGAUGGGGUUAGCGGUAACGCGAAGCUCUUGAUCGAAGCCCCGGUAAACGGCGGCCGUAACUAUAACGGUCCUAAGGUAGCGAAAUUCCUUGUCGGGUAAGUUCCGACCUGCACGAAUGGCGUAAUGAUGGCGGGCUGUCUCCACCCGAGACUCAGUGAAAUUGAACUCGCUGUGAAGAUGCAGUGUACCCGCGGCAAGACGGAAAGACCCCGUGAACCUUUACUAUAGCUUGACACUGAACAUUGAGCCUUGAUGUGUAGGAUAGGUGGGAGGCUUUGAAGUGUGGACGCCAGUCUGCAUGGAGCCGACCUUGAAAUACCACCCUUUAAUGUUUGAUGUUCUAACGUUGACCCGUGAUCCGGGUUGCGGACAGUGUCUGGUGGGUAGUUUGACUGGGGCGGUCUCCUCCUAAAGAGUAACGGAGGAGCACGAAGGUUGGCUAAUCUGGUCGGACAUCAGGAGGUUAGUGCAAUGGCAUAAGCCAGCUUGACUGCGAGCGUGACGGCGCGAGCAGGUGCGAAAGCAGGUCAUAGUGAUCCGGUGGUUCUGAAUGGAAGGGCCAUCGCUCAACGGAUAAAAGGUACUCCGGGGAUAACAGGCUGAUACCGCCCAAGAGUUCAUAUCGACGGCGGUGUUUGGCACCUCGAUGUCGGCUCAUCACAUCCUGGGGCUGAAGUAGGUCCCAAGGGUAUGGCUGUUCGCCAUUUAAAGUGGUACGCGAGCUGGGUUUAGAACGUCGUGAGACAGUUCGGUCCCUAUCUGCCGUGGGCGCUGGAGAACUGAGGGGGCUGCUCCUAGUACGAGAGGACCGGAGUGGACGCAUCACUGGUGUUCGGGUUGUCAUGCCAAUGGCACUGCCCGGUAGCUAAAUGCGGAAGAGAUAAGUGCUGAAAGCAUCUAAGCACGAAACUUGCCCCGAGAUGAGUUCUCCCUGACUCCCUGAGAGUCCUGAAGGAACGUUGAAGACGACGACGUUGAUAGGCCGGGUGUGUAAGCGCAGCGAUGCGUUGAGCUAACCGGUACUAAUGAACCGUGAGGCUUAACCUU
rnacentral:rRNA from 1 species